rnacentral:tRNA from 1 species
UGGCCUAUAGCUCAGUGGUAGAGCGUUUGACUGCAGAUAAGGAAGUCACCGGUUCGAUCCCGUUGGGCCCU